GCUCCAAAAAAAAAAAUUCCUGGUUUUCCAGAUGGCCCAAGAUCAGGUUCCAGUACCCACAUCAGUCCCCAGCCUCCAGGAGGAUCCAAAAGCUCAAGGUUGAGGGUGUUGCCGGUGGCCGUUGAUUUCACCCAUCACACCUACCUGAUGGCACCUCCAGAAGAAGAGGCAUCACUAAAGACUGGGUUCAGGGAGCAGCUUGAUGGUAGAAAUUUGGAUGUUCUUGGACUCUCACGUUCUUCCCGAAAGCAAAUGGCUUUGCCCUUUCUAUAUUCCUGGGCACCUCUUCUCACUGGUGUUCACCAAUGCUCUGUAAUUUCCUUUAAAUAAACCAGUUGGCAUGUU